rnacentral:rRNA from 1 species
UACGAAGGGGGCGAGCGUUGUUCGGAAUUACUGGGCGUAAAGGGCGCGUAGGCGGCCGAUCAAGUUAGAUGUGAAAGUCCUGGGCUUAACCUGGGGGACUGCAUUUGAUACUGAUUGGCUUGAAUUCGGGAGAGGAUAGCGGAAUUCCCAGUGUAGAGGUGAAAUUCGUAGAUAUUGGGAAGAACACCGGUGGCGAAGGCGGCUAUCUGGACCGACAUUGACGCUGAGGCGCGAAAAGCGUUGG